rnacentral:rRNA from 1 species
UACGUAGGGUGCGAGCGUUAAUCGGAAUUACUGGGCGUAAAGCGUGCGCAGGUGGCUCUUUAAGUCAGAUGUGAAAGCCCCGGGCUUAACCUGGGAACUGCGUUUGAAACUGGAGGGCUGGAGUGUGGCAGAGGAAGGUGGAAUUCCUGGUGUAGCAGUGAAAUGCGUAGAGAUCAGGAGGAACACCGAUGGCGAAGGCAGCCUUCUGGGCCAACACUGACGCUCAUGCACGAAAGCGUGGGGAGCAAACAGG